CAGGUGUCACCGUCAUUACGCGGCCGACCGUCGACGCGUUCGAACGUGUACGUAAUAAAUAUUAAUAGUACGAGCGAUAUAUCGUAUGUAUUAUUUAUUUGUACAAGUGUAUACCAAGGACGUCAUGGAAACAAGUUGCUAUUUGACAAAUCGCAUUAAAGUCGGACGAUAUAUAUGUUCUCCAAAAGCGGCAUUUACUCCAGAUGAUGGCAGGAUAAUUUGGACUUUGUAUGCCGUGAAAGAUUCGUGCCACUGCACGGCCAGUAAAAUUGUUAUCUUUAUAACUCAAGAUCAGAUUACGUACGUCGGAAGCGAUUUGUGCUUCGUUCAACAAUUUAACCUGUAAUAAUACAAAUACGAUGUUAUUAUUAAUCAGAUGUAAGAAAAAAAAAAAAAAAUCAUUUCAUAUAUACUCACUUGCGAUUUACAAAUAGUCUCGCUAUUCAACAAGUGAUCCGAUUGGAAAUAAUUUCUUAUCGUAUUUUUAAGUCCUUCUGAUUUAUUUAUUAUUUCUUCCGAUAUAGUCGAACAUUGAUUAAUAACUGGUACGCUGAAUUUUUGAAGAGACAUACUAAUAGAUUCAAGUUGUUGCAAAGAAGAAAUUUCUUGCGAUUGUGUUCUAGAUACCAAAACAUCCAAAGCUUCAUCUAAUUCAGCAUCGGUUAAAUCACCUUGAGCUUUGACUCUCAAACCUAAUGUAUCGUAACGAACUGAUAUAGCAGAACGUUUUGAUUUACCAUUGACUGUAAAGAAGAUCGAAGAACAAAUGCUUUUUAACAACUCCACUGUCCCAUCCAAUGAUCGAGGCGAUAUCGAUGACUUUGAAUUCUAUGGUAGUACUUUUUUCAUGAGAAAUACCUUUCUUUAAGUCUAAUGCAAUUGCCA